AUUGAACGCUGGCGGCAGGCCUAACCCAUGCAAGUCGAACGAGUGGCGGACGGGUGAGUAAUGUCUGGGAAACUGCCUGAUGGAGGGGGAUAACUACUGGAAACGGUAGCUAAUACCGCAUACCAUCAGAUGUGCCCAGAUGUGAUUCGCUAGUAGGUGGGGUAACGUCUCACCUAGGCGACGAUCCCUAGCUGGUCUGAGAGGAAGACCAGCCACACUGGAACGGAGACACGGGCCAGACUCCGACGGGAGGCAGCAGUGGGGAAUAUUGCACAAUGGGCGCAAGCCUGAUGCAGCCAUGCCGCGUGUAUGAAGAAGGCCUUCGGGUUGUAAAGUACUUUCAGCGGGGAGGCGUUACCCGCAGAAGAAGCACCGGCUAACUCCGUGCCAGCCGCCGCGGUAAUUC
rnacentral:rRNA from 1 species